CGGCAAGAGCUCAAAUUUGAAAGCUGGCCCCCUCGGGGUCCGCAUUGUAAUUUGCAGAGGAUGCUUCGGGAGUGGCCCCCAUCUAAGUGCUCUGGAACGGGCCGUCAUAGAGGGUGAGAAUCCCGUAUGGGAUGGGGUGUCCGCGACCAUGUGAAGCUCCUUCGACGAGUCGAGUUGUUUGGGAAUGCAGCUCUAAAUGGGUGGUAAAUUUCAUCUAAAGCUAAAUAUUGGCCGGAGACCGAUAGCGCACAAGUAGAGUGAUCGAAAGAUGAAAAGCACUUUGAAAAGAGAGUUAAAAAGCACGUGAAAUUGUUGAAAGGGAAGCGCUUGCGACCAGACUCGCCUACGGGGUUCAGCCGGUAUUCGUACCGGUGUACUUCCCCGUGGGCGGGCCAGCGUCGGUUUGGGCGGCCGGUCAAAGGCCCUCGGAAUGUAACGCCUCUCGGGGCGUCUUAUAGCCGAGGGUGCCAUGCGGCCAGCCCAGACCGAGGAACGCGCUUCGGCACGGACGCUGGCAUAAUGGUCGUAAGCGACCCGUCUUGAAACACGGA
rnacentral:rRNA from 1 species